AGAUUGAACGCUGGCGGCAGGCCUAACACAUGCAAGUCGAGCGGCAGCACGGGUACUUGUACCUGGUGGCGAGCGGCGGACGGGUGAGUAAUGCCUAGGAAUCUGCCUGAUAGUGGGGGAUAACGUUCGGAAACGGACGCUAAUACCGCAUACGUCCUACGGGAGAAAGUGGGGAUCUUCGGACCUCACGCUAUCAGAUGACGCCUAGGUCGAUUAGCUAGUUGGUAGGGUAAAGCCUACCAAGGCUACGAUCCGUAACUGGUACUGAGAGGAUGAUACGAGUCACACUGGAACUGAGACACGGUCCAGACCUACCGUACGGGACGCAGUACGAGGU
rnacentral:rRNA from 1 species